rnacentral:lncRNA from 1 species
GGCCAUACAAACGCUUCACACCGCGUGGCCGCUGCCACUCUAACCUGGUGGUCGCAGCGCGCACGACCCACAUGGAGUUCCAGGUCUCCGGCAGCCUCUGGAACUGCCGGUCUGCGGCCAACAAGGCAGAGUUCAUCUCAGCCUAUGCUACCCUCCAGUCCCUCAACUUCUUGGCGCUGACGGAAACAAGGAUUACCACAGAUAUCACUGCCUCUCCUACUGCUCUCUCCUCGUCUGCCCACGUGUUCUUGCAUACCCCGAGAGCAUCUGGCCAGCGGGGUGAUGGCACUGGAAUCCUCAUCUCUCCCAAGUGGACAUUCUCUCUUUCUCCCCUGACCCAUCUGUCUAUCGCCUCCUUUGAAUUCCAUGCUGUCACAGUUACCAGCCCUUUCAAGCUUAACAUCCUUAUCAUUUAUCGCCCUCCAGGUUCCCUUGGAGAGUUCAUCAAUGAGCUUGAUAAGUUCCUUUCCUGAGGAUGGCUCACCUCUCACAGUUCUGGACUCAUCCUGCUGCUGAUGACGACGAUGACCUUGACACCAGCGUCAGUAGUACAGAGCCUGUAGACCCAUUGGAUGAAUGCUUUCAGACUGGAAUAAGCUCAAGCUCAACAUCAUCUGACUUUGAAACAAGCCAGGACAGCCAAAGGAGACUUGCAGUACAAAUCAAAGCAUUGGGAAGUGAAGAAAGUGUACGAGAGGCUUGUCCACCUGGCUGUGGAGUGCAGAAAGGACCAGACGGUUGUCUACAAGGAGCCUGAGUCACAGCUCCCCAAACCCAACAUCCCUUCCAACAUCGCCACAGCACCAAAGCCUGCGAAAACAGCUUCCAUUACGCAGCACAAGAAGAGGUUCACCAGUUGAAGAACAUUCUGGAACCUGCUUGGAACAUUCAACCAACACAACACCUUAUUCAGUUAAACUCUUGUUGUAGUAUAAUAUUGUAUGUUCAUUACUGCAUUGUGCUAUAUAUAUAUAGCUGUUGUACAUAUGUAUAUAAUGGUGUCGUAUGUGAUAUUUUGUACAAGUGUACUGACAAGUGACUAAAUGGAAUUCCAGCUGUAUCAGAAACCAAUAAAGUGUUGGAUCAAUUCAUUGUGAUCCCUUACGAAAAAAGAUUGCAGUCAGAAUGCAGUAUAACUGUGGUACACUGCAGUAUAACUGUAGUUAGA